rnacentral:miRNA from 1 species
CCGAUGAAUGCCACGUGGUCAC